CAGUCGCCGCGGUAAUACGGAGGGUGCAAGCGUUAUCCGGAUUUAUUGGGUUUAAAGGGUCCGUAGGCGGAUCUGUAAGUCAGUGGUGAAAUCUCACAGCUUAACUGUGAAACUGCCAUUGAUACUGCAGGUCUUGAGUAAAUUUGAAGUGGCUGGAAUAAGUAGUGUAGCGGUGAAAUGCAUAGAUAUUACUUAGAACACCAAUUGCGAAGGCAGGUCACUAAGAUUUAACUGACGCUGAUGGACGAAAGCGUGGGGAGCGAACAGGAUUAGAUACCCGCGUAGUCCCUGUCUCUUAUAU
rnacentral:rRNA from 1 species